GAUGAACGCUAGCUACAGGCUUAACACAUGCAAGUCGAGGGACCGGCGCACGGGUGAGUAACGCGUAUCCAACCUGCCCAUCACUUGGGGAUAACCUUGCGAAAGUAAGACUAAUACCCAAUGGUGAUGGAUGGGGAUGCGUCAGAUUAGCUUGUUGGCGGGGUAACGGCCCACCAAGGCGACGAUCAGUAGGGGUUCUGAGAGGAAGGUCCCCCACAUUGGAACUGAGACACGGUCCAAACUCCUACGGGAGGCAGCAGUGAGGAAUAUUGGUCAAUGGGCGAGAGCCUGAACCAGCCAAGUAGCGUGCAGGAUGACGGCCUAUGGGUUGUAAACUGCUUUUAUAAGGGAAUAUGUACCUUAUGAAUAAGGACCGGCUAAUUCCGUGCCAGCAGCCGCGGUAAUACGGAAGGUCCGGGCGUUAUCCGGAUUUAUUGGGUUUAAAGGGAGCGUAGGCCGGAGAUUAAGCGUGUUGUGAAAUGUAGAUGCUCAACAUCUGCACUGCAGCGCGAACUGGUUUCCUUGAGUACGCACAAAGUGGGCGGAAUUCGUGGUGUAGCGGUGAAAUGCUUAGAU
rnacentral:rRNA from 1 species